CUCAGACUGCUGUGCUAGCAAUCAGCGAGACUCCGUGGGCGUAGGACCCUACGAGCCAGGUGUGGGAUGUAAUCUCAUGGUGAGCCAUUUUUUUAAGCCGGUCUGAAAAGCGCAAUAUUCGGGUGGGAGUGACCUGAUUUUCCAGAGCUGGUAUACGAUGCCUCUCCAGAAUCACCUUGUUCUUUCUGGAUCUAUUCAGAAUCUGAAACUCCUAGAAAAGAAAAAUGCAAGAUGCAUGAGGUGGAAAAUGAAGCACAGAGAAGUUCAGUGAUGGACCUCAGAUACUACCAGCAGAAAGCAGAAGAGCUAGGAUUUCAACUUAGGAUGUCUGGAUCCACAGUCUGCACUCCUACCCACUAUGCUACACUGCCUCUAACUAUGAGGAAGCAAGGGCAUUUUUUUUUUUCUGGUGACUAAAAAGAUAAGAGUUCAAGUAUGUGGCUCCUGAUAAUCUAACUUAUACAGCCUGGAAAAAUUGAUAGUUACUAUAUCCAGACUGUCUCAUUCAAUUAACAGUUUCUCAAGUAAUCUUCUAGUUACUGUCGUAUUUUAUCUGUAUCAACUUAGCAAACCAAGUCCAAAACAUUUUAUAUGUGUCUAUCUUUCCUGCUGUUCAUAUUAUUGAGUUAGCCAAAUAAAUUCAAUUUUUUUUCUACUGUUUGUUUCUCACAA
rnacentral:lncRNA from 1 species